CUCUGAUCGUUUUUACUGUCAUAACUCAGCCACUAAAGGCAAGCUUGCCUGACAGGUAAUGUCAGCAGUAGUCAUGGCAGCAGUGCACUUCCAUUUCAGGAAGGGAGCCCAAGUCACAGUUCAAGGUACCAAGCAGAACAGUAAGGGCAUGCUUGAACUCCUAAUACUUAAGACUUGCCUGCUAUACAAGGGAAAAGAAGCCACAUGUGUUUGGCUCCACUGUCAGGCAUUGUUCUUCAAGAAAUUUGUGGACCAGCUGAGCAGAAUCCUUAGGAGAUGAAGAAGUCAGGAAAACAUGAUCUAUAAAGAAAGUUUGAAGGGUCAUUUAAAUUAAAGCAUGCCAAAGAGCCCUGCAACAUUA